rnacentral:lncRNA from 1 species
GAAAGGAGGGAGAACUGAAGGACAACUGACUAUUCAUUUGGUUCCUAAUAAGAUGAAAAGGAUAAAAUUGGGAAAAAGAGAUUUCAAGAUACCAGUGAUGGAAGUGAAAAGGAGGAAGAAAGGGAUAAGGAAAAUAAAAACAAGCUAGAAGAAAAAAAACAAGUGUCACAGUGGAUUUCUGAUGUUAUCUUUUCCAUAAAUCCUAAUAACCGCUAAUCAGUGGUGAGAAGACAAGAGCGAGAAUCCCCAGGACAUACUGAAACAUGCAGAGGAAUGAUCUCAUUGCCUCCACCCAAAGGAAAAUCUGCCUCCCCAUCUGCGUGCUCGCAGCAAACUUCUGCUGUCACAACAUCUGCCCAAUCAUUAUUAUAGGAUCCAUUUAAUAUAUUCUAAAGGAGCCAUAGCCACCACUGUGCCUAGAUGGGAUACCAAUAAGGC